CAGCAGUGUCAGCGAAGGCGUCUGAGGACAGAGGCCUGCACGGGAGGUCCGGUCCGGCGGCCACUGCCCAGGAGGAGUCCUUGUAUGAGGUCAUGAAAGACACACAGCCUGAGGAGGACACACAGCUGGACAGCCAGGCUGCGGUAUCUGAAGACCCUCAAGAUGUGACCUACGCCCAGCUGGACUACUUGACCCUCACACAGGAGACAAGUACACCCCCUUCCCAACCAGGGGAACCCCCGGAUGAGCCCAACGUGUAUGCUUCUCUGGCCAUCCGCUAGCCCGGGAAAGACCCAUAUGGCCACUCCAGGGGUCUGGAAGGCACAGGAGCUGCCCACAGUGCGUGCCACCUAAAGAGCCUGGAGGCAGGACACAGACCACCAGCAACUCCUGGGACCUCGUGGAAGUUGAUUGCUUCCUGAAUUCCCAUCAUGGCACAGCUGAUCUUAUUGUGUCUAGAAGGAUCCCCGAGAAACACCGAGACCUUUAACCACCAAGUGGCAACCUUGUGGUGUCGGGGGGAACCUAGCAUAAGCUGCAAGAACUGGGGAUCUUCUGAAGGCUUUGCAGGACCCAGGGCCAUCACACUGAAGCUGGGCACUUUCAACUGACCUCAGAUGACUCGUGAGCAAUGCUGCAGCCCAUGAGGGGUUGCUCAAUGCCAAGGGCUUCCGGUUUCCUGGAGACCAAGCCCCUUCUCUGCCGGGUACAGCUCUCAACAAGGCAGAGAAAAGGGAAGCUGCUCUCCCUCCUGACCUUGUGUUCACAAACUCCAGAUGCAGGGGGAGGGGAGCAGGGUGCCUCAGCUCUCCCUUCCCAACCACACCAAUAAGCUUUAAGCCAGCUUGUUCAGUGCUCCCCAACAAACGCCAAUUCAACUACUUCAUCCUUACCUCCAACCCAAGGUUCAGCAUUUAGCUCCUGCCAACCUUAACCCUGACUUCUUUUUGCCAGGGUCAAGGUUCAAAGGGCUAGAGACACUGGGCUGACCCUCCACUUGCUACUUCCUCUGCCUGCAAAGGAAUCUCCCCACCCCCAUGCCAAUAGCUGGCUUGAGCAUUUCCCCCAACACUGGUGUCCCCGCUGAAGUAACUGGUAUGUCUGUGCUGCUCACGACUGCACCCCUGCCCCAGGCAGCAAGGACACCAGCUGGGAGGCUCCCCAGGCCCCUCUAAGCAGGCAAGGCUCAGAGGUGUGAACUAGCUGGACGGAACCUGGUCAAGGAUCCAGCCUGUGCCUCUUCCCACCAGGGGCUGUUCAGAGCAGGGAGGGAGACACACACACCAAUAAACACCAGUUCCAAA